UUUUACCGAUUGGACGUAGGUGAAGACAACUGGCAUUGUGACACAGAAACAGAUCACCGAGACUGUGGAGAAGGUGACGGCGGCGUAGCCGAUAAGGCGGUAGGCCUGGAAAUGAUAUGGAUUUUUAGUUUUUAUAAGCUUAGAAGGCCUAGAAAGCCUACAAGGCAGGCGCCUAGAAGGCCUCUAAGGUAGGCGCCUAAAUGGCCUAGAAAGCCUCCAAAGCAG
ensembl:ncRNA Y49F6B.15 ncRNA